UCAGUUUAGGGUUUAAAACCCUAAUGCUAACUAAAGGAAAAGAGUUCAGUUUAGGGUUUAAAAUCCUAAUGCUGACUGAAGGAAAGAGUUCAGUUUAGUGUUUAAAACCCUAAUGCUGACUACCGGAAAUAGUUCAGUUUAGGGUUUAAAACCCUAAUGCUGACUGAAGGAAAAGAGUUCAGUUUAGGGUUUAAAACCCUAAUGCUGACUAAAUGGAAAAGAGUUCAGUUUAGGGUUUAAAACCCUAAUGCUGACUAAAUGGAAAAAGUUCAGUUUAGGGUUUACAACCCUAAUGCUGACUAAAGGAAAAGAGUUCAGUUUAGGGUUUAAAACCCUAAUGCUGACUGAAGGAAAAGAGUUCAGUUUAGGGUUUAAAACCUUAAUGCUGACUAAAGGGAAAAAGUUCAGUUUAGGGUUUAAAACCCCAAUGCUGACUGAAGGAAAGAGUUCAGUUUAGGGUUUAAAACCCUAAUGCUUACUACAAAAAAGAGUUCAGUUUAGGGUUUAAAACCCUAAUGCUGACUAAAUGGAAAAGAGUUCAGUUUAGGGUUUAAAACCCUAAUGCUGACUGAAGGAAAGAGUUCAGUUUAGGGUUUAAAACCCUAAUGCUGACUAAAUGGAAAAAGUUCAGUUUAGGGUUUAAAACCCUAAUGCUGACUAAAGGAAAAAAGUUCAGUUUAGGGUUUAAAACCCUAAUGCUGACUGAAGGAAAAGAGUUCAGUUUAGGGUUUAAAACCCUAAUGCUGACUGAAGGAAAAGAGUUCAGUUUAGGGUUCAAAACCCUAAUGC
rnacentral:lncRNA from 1 species